GACGAACGCUGGCGGCGUGCCUAAUACAUGCAAGUCGAACGCAGGGGGGACGGGUGAGUAACACGUGGGUAACCUCCCAUCAGAGGGGAUAACACUUGGAAACAGGUGCUAAACCGAUACUGAAGGAGGGACCCGCGGUGCAGUAGCUAGUUGGAGAGGUAAAGGCUACCCAAGGCCACGAUGCAUAGCGGCCCUGAGAGGGUGAUCGGCCCCACUGGGACUGAGACACGGCCCAGACUCCUACGGGAGGCAGCAGUAGGGAAGCUUCGGCCAUGGACGAAAGUCUGACCGAGCAACGCCGCUUGGGUGAAGAAGGUUUUCGGAUCGUAAAACUCGUUUGUUAGGGAAGCGGUAUCUAACCAGAAAGCCACGGCUAACUACGUGCCAGCAGCCGCGGUAAUAC
rnacentral:rRNA from 1 species